GUGCCAGACUCCUACGGGAGGCAGCAGUGGGGGAUAUUGCACAAUGGGGGAAACCCUGAUGCAGCGACGCCGCGUGUGGGAAGACGGUCCUCUGGCUUGUAAACCACUGUCCCCAGGGACGAAGAUGACGGUACCUGGGGAGGAAGCUCCGGCUAACUACGUGCCAGCAGCCGCGGUAAUACGUAGGGAGCAAGCGUUGUCCGGAAUUACUGGGUGUAAAGGGAGCGCAGGCGGCCUUGCAAGUCUGAUGGGAAAGGCCGGGGCCCAACCCCGGGACUGCAUUGGAAACUGCGAGGCUGGAGUGUCGGAGAGGCAGGCGGAAUUCCUGGUGUAGCGGUGAAAUGCGUAGAUAUCAGGAGGAACACCGGUGGCGAAGGCGGCCUGCUGGACUGCAACUGACGUUGAGGCCCGAAAGCGUGGGGAGCAAACAGGAUUAGAUACCCCCGUA
rnacentral:rRNA from 1 species